rnacentral:rRNA from 1 species
GAGCAAUAACACUGCUUGAGCUGAUUGUAGCGAAAGAGGAAGGGACGGCUAACUCUGUGCCAGCAGCCGCGGUAAUACAGAGGUCCCGAGCGUUGUUCGGAUUCACUGGGCGUAAAGGGUGCGUAGGUGGCCGUGGAAGUUCGGUGUGAAAGCUCGGAGCUCAACUCCGAAAUGUCAUUGAAUACUCUACGGCUGGAGGGUCGGAGGGGAGACUGGAAUUCUCGGUGUAGCAGUGAAAUGCGUAGAUAUCGAGAGGAACACCAGUGGCGAAGGCGAGUCUCUGGACGACACCUGACACUGAGGCACGAAAGCUAGGGGAGCAAACAGGAUUAGAUACCCUGGUAGUCCUAGCUGUAAACGGUGCACGUUUGCUGUAAGAGGAAUCGACCCCUUUUGUGGCGAAGCUAACGCGAUAAACGUGCCGCCUGGGGAGUACGGUCGCAAGAUUAAAACUCAAAGAAAUUGACGGGGGCCUGCACAAGCGGUGGAGUAUGUGGCUUAAUUCGAUGCAACGCGAAGAACCUUACCUGGCCUUGACAUGCACGUAGUAGGAGCCUGAAAGGGUGACGACCUCGCAAGAGGAGCGUGCACAGGUGCUGCAUGGCUGUCGUCAGCUCGUGUCGUGAGAUGUUGGGUUAAGUCCCGCAACGAGCGCAACCCUUGUGUCCUGUUGCCACUCAAUCGAGAGAUUGGAGCACUCUGGACAGACUGCCUCGCUUAAACGAGGAGGAAGGUGGGGAUGACGUCAAGUCAGGAUGGCCCUUACGGCCAGGGCUGCACACGUACUACAAUGCCCGGCACAGAGGGAAGCAAGACCGAUAGGUGGAGCAAAUCCCAGAAAACCGGGCUCAGUUCAGAUUGUCGGCUGCAACUCGCCGACAUGAAGCUGGAAUCG